ACGAACGCUGGCGGCGUGCUUAACACAUGCCAGUCGCACGGAAAGGCCCUGCUUUUGUGGGGUGCUCGAGUGGCGAACGGGUGAGUAACACGUGAGUAACCUGCCCUUGACUUUGGGAUAACUUCAGGAAACUGGGGCUAAUACCGGAUAGGAGCUCCUGCUGCAUGGUGGGGGUUGGAAAGUUUCGGCGGUUGGGGAUGGACUCGCGGCUUAUCAGCUUGUUGGUGGGGUAGUGGCUUACCAAGGCUUUGACGGGUAGCCGGCCUGAGAGGGUGACCGGCCACAUUGGGACUGAGAUACGUCCCAGACUCCUACGGGAGGCAGCAGUGGGGAAUAUUGCACAAUGGGCGGAAGCCUGAUGCAGCAACGCCGCGUGCGGGAUGACGGCCUUCGGGUUGUAAACCGCUUUCGCCUGUGACGAAGCGUGAGUGACGGUAAUGGGUAAAGAAGCACCGGCUAACUACGUG
rnacentral:rRNA from 1 species